rnacentral:piRNA from 1 species
UCUGACAUGGUGUUUGCUGAUGGGCUAACC